rnacentral:rRNA from 1 species
UACGUAGGGGGCAAGCGUUAUCCGGAAUUACUGGGUGUAAAGGGAGCGUAGACGGUUAAGUAAGUCUGGAGUGAAAGGCCGGGGCCCAACCCCGGGACUGCUCUGGAAACUAUUGAACUUGAGUGCAGGAGAGGUAAGCGGAAUUCCUAGUGUAGCGGUGAAAUGCGUAGAUAUUAGGAGGAACACCAGUGGCGAAGGCGGCUUACCAAACUAUAUCUGACGCUGAGGCACGAAAGCGUGGGUAGCAAACAGG